rnacentral:rRNA from 1 species
CCUACGGGGCGCAGCAGUGGGGAAUAUUGCACAAUGGGGGAAACCCUGAUGCAGCGACGCCGCGUGAGUGAAGAAGUAUUUCGGUAUGUAAAGCUCUAUCAGCAGGAACGAGACAAGACGGUACCUGACUAAGAAGCCCCGGCUAACUACGUGCCAGCAGCCGCGGUAAUACGUAGGGGGCAAGCGUUAUCCGGAUUUACUGGGUGUAAAGGGAGCGUAGACGGCGAUGCAAGUCUGAAGUGAAAGGCGGGGGCCCAACCCCCGGACUGCUUUGGAAACUGUAUGGCUGGAGUGCAGGAGAGGUA